AUUGAACGCUGGCGGCAGGCCUAACACAUGCAAGUCGAGCGAGCGGCGGACGGGUGAGUAAUGUCUGGGAAACUGCCUGAUGGAGGGGGAUAACUACUGGAAACGGUAGCUAAUACCGCAUACCCUCAGAUGUGCCCAGAGGGGAUUAGCUGGUAGGUGGGGUAAUGGCUCACCUAGGCGAGGAUCCCUAGCUGGUCUGAGAGGAUGACCAGCCACACUGGAACUGAGACACGGUCCAGACUCCUACGGGAGGCAGCAGUGGGGAAUAUUGCACAAUGGGCGCAAGCCUGACGCAGCAAUGCCGCGUGAGUGAAGAAGGCCUUCGGGUUGUAAAGCACUGUCGGCAGGGAGGCGUUACCCGAAGAAGAAGCACCGGCUAACUCCGUGCCAGCCGCCGCGGUAAUAC
rnacentral:rRNA from 1 species